GCCUGGUCCAAUGGUAGUGGGUUAUCAGAACUUAUUAGUGGCAAUAACGUUGCUACUCAACCCCCCUCUGAUAAAUUUGACUGGCUUAA
ensembl:misc_RNA Y_RNA Y RNA